rnacentral:rRNA from 2 species
UGGGGAAUAUUGCACAAUGGGCGCAAGCCUGAUGCAGCCAUGCCGCGUGUAUGAAGAAGGCCUUCGGGUUGUAAAGUACUUUCAGUCGGGAGGAAGGUGGUAAGGUUAAUAACCUUAUCAAUUGACGUUACCGACAGAAGAAGCACCGGCUAACUCUGUGCCAGCAGCCGCGGUAAUACGGAGGGUGCAAGCGUUAAUCGGAAUUACUGGGCGUAAAGCGCACGCAGGCGGUUGAUUGAGUCAGAUGUGAAAUCCCCGGGCUUAACCCGGGAAUUGCAUCUGAUACUGGUCAGCUAGAGUCUUGUAGAGGGGGGUAGAAUUCCAUGUGUAGCGGUGAAAUGCGUAGAGAUGUGGAGGAAUACCGGUGGCGAAGGCGGCCCCCUGGACAAAGACUGACGCUCAGGUGCGAAAGCGUGGGGAGCAAACAGG